rnacentral:rRNA from 2 species
ACGGGUGAGUAAUAUAUCGGAACGUGCCCAGUCGUGGGGGAUAACGUAGAGAAAUUUACGCUAAUACCGCAUACGAUCUAAGGAUGAAAGCGGGGGAUCGCAAGACCUCGCGCGAUUGGAGCGGCUGAUAUCAGAUUAGGUUGUUGGUGAGGUAAAAGCUCACCAAGCCGACGAUCUGUAGCUGGUUUGAGAGAACGACCAGCCACACUGGGACUGAGACACGGCCCAGACUCCUACGGGAGGCAGCAGUGGGGAAUUUUGGACAAUGGGCGAAAGCCUGAUCCAGCAAUGCCGCGUGCAGGAAGAAGGCCUUCGGGUUGUAAACUGCUUUUGUACGGAACGAAACGGCUCUUUCUAAUAAAGAGGGCUAAUGACGGUACCGUAAGAAUAAGCACCGGCUAACUACGUGCCAGCAGCCGCGGUAAUACGUAGGGUGCGAGCGUUAAUCGGAAUUACUGGGCGUAAAGCGUGCGCAGGCGGUUAUAUAAGACAGUUGUGAAAUCCCCGGGCUCAACCUGGGAAUUGCAUCUGUGACUGUAUAGCUAGAGUACGGUAGAGGGGGAUGGAAUUCCGCGUGUAGCAGUGAAAUGCGU